CCUGUCGUUUCCAUUUUUCUAUGUCAGAAGGGAAGACUGAAAGAAAUUUAGGCAAAUUAAGCCCCAAAGCGCACUAUAAUUUUCUAUUUCUGAACCGAUGUGUAAGAGAAUGGGUAACUGAAAUUAGCAAAGAAUCACCCCACACAAAGAUGGCGCGUGCAGAAUUUGUGAAAGCGAAAAAGAAGACGAAGGAGAAGCAAAGGAGGGACGGAAUACUGCGGUGCUGGGGUGCAGCUGGAGUCCAGAAAUGAUUUUUUUCGAUGAAUUUAGGAUUUUGCCGCAGUAUACAUCUGCAGUCCCAGAAUCCUCCGUAUGGCAAUGACUGUUGUGUCAAACCAAUGAAGGCCUGAAGAACACAUAACUCCAAGCAUGAAGAGUGUUCCUGGCAUAACCGAAGCGGCCAUGAACAAAACUACCAGUGCUGCUGCCACCGCCACCACCAUGGCCAUCGCCUCCCACCACCUUCACUGCCCCUCCCUCGCUCUGCAGUGCACACCAGAUGCAAGCUUUCCACAGUGGCUCUCUGCUGAAUUUGCCCACUGGGUUCCUAGAUUACUUCUGUGUGCAAGAAUAGCCAACCAUGUAGUCUGACAAGAGGUAUUUACAACUACUUAGCCUGUUCAGCUGGAAAGAAAUCAAAAGAUAACACUGAACCCUGAGAUGAUGUAUUGCAAAUCAAAAGUCCCAAUCCAUAAAUAGCCCACUUGAUGAGCUGCUAAAUGAAAAGCUGAUCCUGAUUAUUGUCCAGUGUUUUUAGGUUGUCAAAAAGAAAUAUUUUUAACAGGCCUUCUUAGAGAGUCAGGAUCUAUUGUUUAUAAAUGCAUGGAAUAUUAUUUAGUCUUACCUUUCUGCUGGGAGAGGAUUCUUCCCAAGGAGAUUCGGAUAGAGUCCAGAGGAGACCACACCCACCUUUCACUGUUUUCUACUGUUUCUGUUUACUUUCAAGUAGGGUGGAUUAACAAUUACAAUUAUACAUUAAUUUAAGGGACCUAAUCAAAAGGAGCCAGUCUUCCAUUUCCCUCUCUCUAAAGGAAGCUCGUUGUCUUAGUGCUCAAUAAAUGUUUAAUUAAUGGAUUUGAUAGAGUUAACUAUCCAAAAAGUAAACGGACCUUCUUUACAGUGCUGGCUUGAUUAAUGUUUCUGUUGGAAGUGCAAAACAAUCUGGGCGUUUAUUUGCCUAAGGUGAUUCAAAAGCAUAUGCCUUAGUGAAGGGAUCCUUUACGUUCAGGUUCCAUGUAGCCCCUGCUUGAUAUGCCAAUGGUCUGAUAUCAUGACAAGUAACACCUCCUCUGCUAAACCAGCUGGAGACACUUUGGUUUCUAGGAAAACAGCCUGAAAUUUAG
rnacentral:lncRNA from 1 species